AGGAAGUAAAAGUCGUAACAAGGUUUCCGUAGGUGAACCUGCGGAAGGAUCAUUAUCGAGUUCAGAAUGUGGGCUUGAGCUGGCGCCUCGGCGCAAGUGCUCGGCCCCGCUCAUCCACUCAACCCCUGUGCACUUUAGAGGUGUGGUCCCCCGUCAUGGGAGCCGCCGGCGCGAGCUGGCUGGGAUCGCGCUUCGACCUUCACACAAACCACUCAAAGUAUAGUGAACGUGAAUCGCGUUAGCGAUGAAACUUAAUACAACUUUCAACAACGGAUCUCUUGGCUCUCGCAUCGAUGAAGAACGCAGCGAAAUGCGAUAAGUAAUGUGAAUUGCAGAAUUCAGUGAAUCAUCGAAUCUUUGAACGCACCUUGCGCUCCUUGGUAUUCCGAGGAGCAUGCCUGUUUGAGUGUCAUGAGCAUCAUCAACCUCCUGGUUUUGUUACUUGGGAGGCUUGGACUUGGGGGUUGCUGGCUUCGCGGUCGGCUCCUCUGGAAUGCAUUAGCUGGUCGCUGGGGCGUCCUCGGUGUGAUAAAUAUUUCACCUUGGGCGUCCUGUUGAGGCGGCCGCUUCUAACCGUCUUCGGACAACUUUUUGACAAUCUGACCUCAAAUCAGGUAGGACUACCCGCUGAACUUAAGCAUAUCA
rnacentral:rRNA from 1 species